AUUGAACGCUGGCGGCAGGCCUAACACAUGCAAGUCGAGCGAGCGGCGGACGGGUGAGUAAUGUCUGGGAACCUGCCUGAUGGAGGGGGGUAACUACUGGAAACGGUAGCUAAUACCGCAUACCAUCAGAUGUGCCCAGGUGGGAUUAGCUAGUAGGUGGGGUAAUGGCGCAACUAGGCGACGAUCCCUAGCUGGUCUGAGAGGAUGACCAGCCACACUGGAACGGAGACACGGUCCAGACUCCUACGGGAGGCAGCAGUGGGGAAUAUUGCACAAUGGGCGCAAGCCUGAUGCAGCCAGGCCGCGUGUAUGAAGAAGGCCUUCGGGUUGUAAAGUACUUUCAGCGAGGAGGCGUUACUCGCAGAAGAAGCACCGGCUAACUCCGUGCCAGCAGCCGCGGUAAUAC
rnacentral:rRNA from 1 species